rnacentral:misc_RNA from 1 species
CGGCCGGUCAUCGCCGCAGUCAAUGGGUUGGCCCUAGCGGGCGGCCUGGAGUUGGUGCUGUGCUGCGAUCUGGUUAUCGCAGCGCGGUCAGCGAAGCUUGGUGACGCGCAUGCCAAUUUCGGUCUGCUGCCGGGCGGCGGCAGUUCGGUGCGGCUGCCUCGAAAAAUCGGUCCGACCCGUGCGAAAUAUCUGCUGUUUACUGGCGAUUUCGUGCCCGCCGACGAUCUGGUUGCCUGCGGUCUCGUCAACGAGGUCGUCGA